GGGUGGGGUCGAGACUGGCAGCUGAGAGAUACCAAAAGGAAGAAAAAAGAAAACCAUUGCUCUUGAUAUUGCUAAUGCCGGGGGAGGUAAGCUAACGAGAAAGUAGGGAAAAGGAAGGUUUUAGAGUUCACCUCCACUCCUUCCCCUGGCUAACACUCUUUACACUCUUCUGCCUUCCCUUGAGAUAAUUAAAAUAGACUGUACACCGGCCCUAGUCGGUGCCCAUUCCCCCUAACUCUUCACUCAACUACGUGUGUAGUCCGAGGGAGUGAGGACCCCGGGUCCAAGAGCUCAAUCCCGGCCCCGCCCCGUCGGCCCAGGCCCCGGGGCUGGGAGGAGAGGAUGCCUUCGGAGGCGCAGAAUCCGAAAAGAUGUGGUUGGAGCUGGAAGCUGUUAUCCUCAGCAAACUAAUGCAGGAGGAGAAAACCAAAUACUGCAAGUUCUCACUUAUAAGUGGGAACUGAAUGAUGAGAACAUUUGGACAUGAAGACCAAAUCUCCAGGAUUGUGAAUCAAUCAGAGAAUGUUUAGACAGAACAGGGUGUGGAGACUCACAUCAUGAACUUUCACUCAAAGAACUACUGCAGGAAUAGACCAGAAAAGCUGAGAGAAUCUACAGACCCUUUGAAGGAAGAGGAUUACUCCUGCAGGACCCGGGAGAUAGCCCAAAUACUAAGCUGGGCAGAGAAAUCGAGCUGCAAAAUGACCUACAGAUAUUACAGUUUUAUUCUUGGAAAAUGGAGGUUGUCUAUUAGUGUGAUGGUAACAACCAACUAAUAAAAUUUGGAGACUAGACUGCUUGUCAUGUCUGGGGUUCACUGGAAAUCAAUGAUUCACUGGAACAAUUCUCCUGUCAAAAAAAAUGUGAGGUUUGUAACUUGCCCUAAGUAUAACAAGGGAUAUAUUUUAACAAAGGAUGUAUUUUUUCUUAAGAAGCAACCAUUUCUCAGCUUAUACAUAAUAGCAAUAAUAAAGUCUUUGACCCUA
rnacentral:lncRNA from 1 species